CUGGUAUGUGACAGAGAUUGCAUGCCUUGCAAUCAAGCCGGGUGAUCCGUGUGAUCAUAUUCGGCUUCCGUACUGGCCGGACCGUCGGUAAGGUAACCGAGUAGACAGCAGAAACUACUGAGCUUAUCGUUUGUUGGAUAUCCGAUGGUGUCAGCUUCAAAUUCCUGCAGCUUUCCACUGCUGUAUGUUUGAUCUGUGGGAACUGAUACAGGGCGUGGACACAAUAUCAUCAACACCACUGCAAGAUAACAACAAUAACUACCAUUGUGAACCUUGUUAUGUCGAGUUUGUAUGAUAAUGUGUGUCAACAUCACUGUGAUGAUUCAUCUCUGAUAGGAGGAUGAGCAAACUCCCAUGGAUACACUGAAAUAAACAAUAAAGGUCUAAACUUAUAGGCUUCACAGA